rnacentral:lncRNA from 1 species
AAGGGAUGUGUGGAGUGUGACUUGCUUCCAGGCAGACCUGAAGGGCCCCCCAGGGUCCUUGCACCCACUGUGUCCUGGGUCACAAUGAGCAGAUAACUGCAACUGAGAUGGCAGCUAUUGAGCCACACAGAACUGAGUUUCAGUCCUGGGUCCUCCAUGAAGCCGGGUGACUUGGGCAUGUCACUUGAUGUCUCUAAACGUAUCCACUCACCUACAAAGGGAGACGCUAAUGGUACUGCCGCCCAGGCCAGCUGUAAGCAUGAGACACACCACUGAGCUCAGCAUCUGGGCCCGACAAACAGUGGCUGUUGUCACAGUGCUGGAGAUGAGCCAGCAGGCUGCUGCCCAGGACCCGGGGCCCAAGGACACAUCACAUGCAGAGCACCUCAAUCAGGCAGCAGACAGAAAGUGCUGGAGAACUGGAUCCACGGGCAGAGUGGGCACCAUUUUGUGCAGGCGUGGUGUCACUGAGCUAAAUCCCUG